AUUGAACGCUGGCGGCAUGCCUUACACAUGCAAGUCGAACGGCAGCACGGGUGCUUGCACCUGGUGGCGAGUGGCGAACGGGUGAGUAAUACAUCGGAACAUGUCCUGUAGUGGGGGAUAGCCCGGCGAAAGCCGGAUUAAUACCGCAUACGAUCUACGGAUGAAAGCGGGGGACCUUCGGGCCUCGCGCUAUAGGGUUGGCCGAUGGCUGAUUGGCUAGUUGGUGGGGUAAGGGCCUACCAAGGCGACGAUCAGUAGCUGGUCUGAGAGGACGACCAGCCACACUGGGACUGAGACACGGCCCAGACUCCUACGGGAGGCAGCAGUGGGGAAUUUUGGACAAUGGGCGAAAGCCUGAUCCAGCAAUGCCGCGUGUGUGAAGAAGGCCUUCGGGUUGUAAAGCACUUUUGUCCGGAAAGAAAUCCUUGGCCCUAAUACGGUCGGGGGAUGACGGUACCGGAAGAAUAAGCACCGGCUAACUACGUG
rnacentral:rRNA from 1 species